AAAGAUUAAGCCAUGCAUGUCUAAGCACAUGCCUUAAUACGGUGAAGCCGCGAAUAGCUCAUUACAACAGCCACCGUUUACUAGAAAUAGUUAUCCUACUUGGAUAACUCUGGCAAUUCUAGAGCUAAUACAUGCAAUAAAGCUCCGCCCUGCGAAGGAACGGGCGCAUUUAUUAGAAUAAAAACCAAUCGGGUCUCGGCCCGUAAUUUGGUAAAUCUGAAUAACUUUGCCAAUCGCACGGUCCUAGUACCGGCGAUAUAUCUUUCAAGUGUCUGCCUUAUCAACUUUCGUUGGUAGGUUAUACGCCUACCAAGGUAGUAACGGGUAACGGAGAAUAAGGGUUCGACUCCGGAGAGGGAGCCUGAGAAACGGCUACCACAUCCAAGGAAGGCAGCAGGCGCGCAAAUUACCCACUUCCAGAACGGAGAGGUAGUGACGAAAAAUAACGAGACAGCCCUCUUCGAGGUCUGUCAUCGGAAUGGGUACAAUUUAAAUCCUUUAACGAGGAUCUAUUGGAGGGCAAGUCUGGUGCCAGCAGCCGCGGUAACUCCAGCUCCAAUAGCGUAUAUUAAAGUUGUUGCGGUUAAAACGCUCGUAGUUGGAUCUGCGGCCUCGACGAACGGUCCCCCGAAAGGGUGGUCACUGUCUCGUCUAGCCUAAAUUCGAGUCGUCCCUAGGUGUUCUUAACCGAGUGCCUAGGGUGACCAGAACGUUUACUUUGAAAAAAUUAGAGUGCUUAAAGCAGGCGAAAUAGCCUGAAUAAAAUGCAUGGAAUAAUGGAAUAGGACCUCGGUUCUAUUUUGUUGGUUUUCGGAACCCGAGGUAAUGAUUAAGAGGAACAGACGGGGGCAUUCGUAUUCCGGCGCUAGAGGUGAAAUUCUUGGACCGCCGGAAGACGGACGACUGCGAAAGCAUUUGCCAAGAAUG
rnacentral:rRNA from 1 species